rnacentral:misc_RNA from 1 species
GAUGAAGAACGUAGCGAAAUGCGAUAAGUAAUGUGAAUUGCAGAAUUCAGUGAAUCAUCGAAUCUUUGAACGCACAUUGCGCCCUUUGGUAUUCCGAAGGGCAUGCUUGUUCGAGCGUCAUUUCAACCCUCAAGCCCCCGGGCUUGGUGUUGGGGAUCGGCGAGCCUCCGCGCCCGCCGUCCCCUAAAUCUAGUGGCGGUCUCGCUGUAGCUUCCUCUGCGUAGUAGCACACCUCGCACUGGGAAACAGCGCGGCCACGCCGUUAAACCCCCAACUUCUGAACGUUUGACCUCGGAUCAGGUAGGAAUACCCGCUGAACUUAAGCAUAUCAAUAAGCGGAGGA